rnacentral:rRNA from 1 species
GACAGAGGGUGCAAACGUUGUUCGGAAUUACUGGGCGUAAAGCGCGUGUAGGCGGUGCGGUAAGUCGGGCGUGAAAGCCCUGGGCUCAACCCAGGAAGUGCAUUCGAUACUACCGUACUAGAGUCCCGGAGAGGUUGGUGGAACUCUCGGUGUAGAGGUGAAAUUCGUAGAUAUCGAGAAGAACACCGGUGGCGAAGGCGGCCAACUGGACGGUGACUGACGCUGAGACGCGAAAGCGUGGGGAGCAAACAGG